AUUGAACGCCGGCGGCAGGCCUAACACAUGCAAGUCGAGCGGAUGAAGGGAGCUUGCUCCUGGAUUCAGCGGCGGACGGGUGAGUAAUGCCUAGGAAUCUGCCUGGUAGUGGGGGAUAACGUCCGGAAACGGGCGCUAAUACCGCAUACGUCCUGAGGGAGAAAGUGGGGGAUCUUCGGACCUCACGCUAUCAGAUGAGCCUAGGUCGGAUUAGCUAGUUGGUGGGGUAAAGGCCUACCAAGGCGACGAUCCGUAACUGGUCUGAGAGGAUGAUCAGUCACACUGGAACUGAGACACGGUCCAGACUCCUACGGGAGGCAGCAGUGGGGAAUAUUGGACAAUGGGCGAAAGCCUGAUCCAGCCAUGCCGCGUGUGUGAAGAAGGUCUUCGGAUUGUAAAGCACUUUAAGUUGGGAGGAAGGGCAGUAAGUUAAUACCUUGCUGUUUUGACGCUACCAACAGAAUAAGCACCGGCUAACUUCGUG
rnacentral:rRNA from 1 species